UCUUUCUUUACUUGCAGAACAAAGAAAGUGGAUUCUUUCACCUCUAGACUCUUAGAUAUUCAUUCCAAGAUGCAAGAAAUGAAUAAGAAAGAGGAAAUACGCUUGGGUUUACAUCGAUCAGAUUAUAUGCUCGAUGAACAAACAAAAUUACUUCUCCAAAUAGAGCUGAACACAAUUUCAUCUUCGUUUCCUGGCCUCAGUUGUCUUGUCACCGAGCUACACAGGAGCUUACUUAAUCAUUAUGGGAAACACCUUGGAUUAGAUUCCAAAAGGAUCCCUGGAAACAGUGCAGUAACU